CAGAAAAUAGUUUAUAUCAAAACAAUAAAUUUGGAAUUUAUAGAAUAAAAUUUCUGA
rnacentral:tRNA from 1 species